rnacentral:rRNA from 1 species
AACGAACGCUGGCGGCAUGCCUAACACAUGCAAGUCGAACGAGACCUUCGGGUCUAGUGGCGCACGGGUGCGUAACGCGUGGGAAUCUGCCCUUGGGUUCGGAAUAACAGUGAGAAAUUACUGCUAAUACCGGAUGAUGUCUUCGGACCAAAGAUUUAUCGCCCAGGGAUGAGCCCGCGUAGGAUUAGCUAGUUGGUGGGGUAAUGGCCUACCAAGGCGACGAUCCUUAGCUGGUCUGAGAGGAUGAUCAGCCACACUGGGACUGAGACACGGCCCAGACUCCUACGGGAGGCAGCAGUGGGUAAUAUUGGACAAUGGGCGCAAGGAUGAACCAGCAAUGACGCGUGAGUGAUGAAGGCCUUAGGGUUGUAAAGCUCUUUUACCCGGGAUGAUAAUGACAGUACCGGGAGAAUAAGCUCCGGCUAACUCCGUG